GACGAACGCUGGCGGCGUGCCUAAUACGUGCAAGUAGGACGCAGUUGCGAACGGGUGAGUAACGCGUAGGUAACUACCUAUUAGAGGGGGAUAACUAUUGGAAACGAUAGCUACUACCGCAUACUAGUAGAUGGACCUGCGUUGUAUUAGCUAGUAGGUAGGGUAAUGGCCUACCUAGGCAACGGUACAUAGCCGACCUUGGGAGGUGAUCGGCCACACUGGGAAUGAGGAACGGCCCAGACUCCUAAGGGAGGCAGCAGUAGGGGAUCUUCGGCAAAGGGGGGAACCCUGACCGAGGAACGCCGCGGGAGUGAAGAAGGUUUUCGGAUCGGAAAGCUCUGUUGUGAAGGAAGCGGUACUUAACCAGAAAGGGACGGCUAACUACGUGCCAGCAGCCGCGGUAAUAC
rnacentral:rRNA from 1 species